GAUGAACGCUGGCGGCGUGCCUAAUACAUGCAAGUCGAGCGAACAGACGAGGAGCUUGCUCCUCUGACGUUAGCGGCGGACGGGUGAGUAACACGUGGAUAACCUACCUAUAAGACUGGGAUAACUUCGGGAAACCGGAGCUACUACCGGAUAAUAUAUUGAACCGCAUGGUUCAAUAGUGAAAGACGGUUUUGCUGUCACUUAUAGAUGGAUCCGCGCCGCAUUAGCUAGUUGGUAAGGUAACGGCUUACCAAGGCAACGAUGCGUAGCCGACCUGAGAGGGUGAUCGGCCACACUGGAACUGAGACACGGUCCAGACUCCUACGGGAGGCAGCAGUCGGGAAUCUUCCGCAAUGCGCGAACGCCUGACGGAGCAACGCCGCGUGAGUGAUGAAGGUCUUCGGAUCGUAAACCUCUGUUAUUAGGGAAGAACAAAUGUGUAAGUAACUAUGCACGUCUUGACGGUACCUUAUCAGAAAGCCAGGGCUAACUACGUG
rnacentral:rRNA from 1 species